UGCUCUAACAAACUAGGACUACUCAUGCCAAGAUGUUGUGCAGAGACUGGUUUUAUAAGGCAAGUGAGGAGAGAAUUUCGAAUCGUUGGAACAAGCACUCAAGCCUGACCCAAUCUUCGCAGCAACUGAAAAGAGGGAAAAGGAAAAGUGGAUAGGAGAAUCUAAUGGGCUGUGCAUCUGUAUGGAGGAGUCCUCUGAGUUUGGUUGCUACCUGUUCUACAUAAGAUGCAGAAAGUAGGGGCUUAAAAAUGACGGCAGGCAGGCGCGGGCACGCGAUCCCGCAGCAGGAAGGGGAAUAACGAAAAGCGAUGUUGACAAAGCUGGAGGGAGGAAUCCCGCGCUUUUUUUUUUUUUUUGGAGGGGGGCAAAGAUGAGGAGGAAUAUAUCGCCUGUGUCGACCUCUCCUGCCUGAUGAUUCUUCUGUUCCGUGACCUGGUUGUGCUGCUGCUCCGCGGCCUCGUGCGAGCAGAGAGCGGCAUCAGGCAUGGACACGUGUGGACAUUGGCGCGGGUAUAUUAUUGGUGCUGUAAGAGUGGUUUGCUCGGUGCUCGUUACUUGCUAUAUAAACCCAUCCAGUCCAAAUCAGCCUGGUUGAUGGGAGAAUAUGGGAGGACUUGUAACGAUGCCACCAACUGAUAAGUGUUUCUCGCUUGUUUGGUGUAACGAGA